GACGAACGCUGGCGGCAUGCCUAACACAUGCAAGUCGAACGAGACCUUCGGGCCUAUGGGCGCACGUGUGGGGAACGCGGGGGAACUUGCACGUAGGUUCGCUAUAACUCCCCGAAAGGGGACCUAAUACCGGUGAAGCUCUUCGCACCAAAGAGCUAUCGCCGUUGGAUGGGCCUGGGUUGGAUUAGCUGGUUGGUAGGGUAAAAGCCUACCAAGGCGACGAUGCAUAGCUGGUCUGAGAGGAUGACCAGCCACACUGGGACUGAGACCCGGCCCAGAGUGGUACGGGAGGCAGGAGUGGGGUAUAUUGGAGGAGGGAGGAAAGCCUGACACAGCAUUGCGGGGUGAGUGAUGAAGGGGGUAGGGUUGUAAAGCUCUUUUAGCCGAGAUGAUAAUGACAGUACCGGGAGAAUAAGCACCGGCUAACUCCGUG
rnacentral:rRNA from 1 species